UACGUAGGGGGCAAGCGUUGUCCGGAAUCAUUGGGCGUAAAGGGCGCGUAGGCGGAUAUUUAAGUCUGGUGUGAAAGACCAGGGCUCAACCCUGGGGUUGCACCGGAAACUGGAUAUCUUGAGGACAGGAGAGGAAAGUGGAAUUCCACGUGUAGCGGUGAAAUGCGUAGAUAUGUGGAGGAACACCAGUGGCGAAGGCGACUUUCUGGACUGUAACUGACGCUGAGGCGCGAAAGCGUGGGGAGCAAACAGG
rnacentral:rRNA from 1 species